rnacentral:piRNA from 2 species
CUUAACAUGAUGGUGUCCAGU